UGGGGAAUAUUGGACAAUGGGCGCAAGCCUGAUCCAGCAAUGCCGCGUGUGUGAAGAAGGCCUGCGGGUUGUAAAGCACUUUCAGUUGUGAAGAAAAGCGUUUGGCUAAUACCCGAGCGUCUUGACAUUAUCAACAGAAGAAGCACCGGCUAACUCCGUGCCAGCAGCCGCGGUAAUACGGAGGGUGCGAGCGUUAAUCGGAAUUACUGGGCGUAAAGCGUGCGUAGGCGGACUGUUAAGUCAGAUGUGAAAGCCCCGGGCUUAACCUGGGAACUGCAUUUGAUACUGGCAAUCUAGAGUGUAGUAGAGGGGGGUAGAAUUCCUAGUGUAGCGGUGAAAUGCGUAGAUAUUAGGAGGAAUACCAGUGGCGAAGGCGGCCCCCUGGACUAACACUGACGCUGAGGUACGAAAGCGUGGGGAGCAAACA
rnacentral:rRNA from 1 species